UACGUAGGGGGCGAGCGUUGUCCGGAAUCAUUGGGCGUAAAGCGCGUGUAGGCGGCUCGGUAAGUCUGCUGUGAAAGUCCAGGGCUCAACCCUGGGAUGCCGGUGGAUACUGUCGAGCUCGAGUCCGGAAGAGGCGAGUGGAAUUCCUGGUGUAGCGGUGAAAUGCGCAGAUAUCAGGAGGAACACCAAUGGCGAAGGCAGCUCGCUGGGACGUUACUGACGCUGAGACGCGAAAGCGUGGGGAGCAAACAGG
rnacentral:rRNA from 1 species